rnacentral:rRNA from 1 species
GAUGAACGCUGGCGGCGUGCCUAAUACAUGCAAGUCGAGCGAACAGAUGAGGAGCUUGCUCCUCUGACGUUAGCGGCGGACGGGUGAGUAACACGUGGAUAACCUACCUAUAAGACUGGGAUAACUUCGGGAGACCGGAGCUAAUACCGGAUAAUAUAUUGAACCGCAUGGUUCAAUAGUGAAAGACGGUUUUGCUGUCACUUAUAGAUGGAUCCGCGCCGCAUUAGCUAGUUGGUAAGGUAACGGCUUACCAAGGCGACGAUGCGUAGCCGACCUGAGAGGGUGAUCGGCCACACUGGAACUGAGACACGGUCCAGACUCCUACGGGAGGCAGCAGUAGGGAAUCUUCCGCAAUGGGCGAAAGCUUGACGGAGCAACGCCGCGUGAGUGAUGAAGGUCUUCGGAUCGUAAAACUCUGUUAUUAGGGAAGAACAAAUGUGUAAGUAACUAUGCACGUCUUGACGGUACCUAAUCAGAAAGCCACGGCUAACUACGUGC